UACGUAGGUGGCAAGCGUUGUCCGGAUUUAUUGGGCUUAAAGGGCGCGUAGGCGGCCAAUUAAGUCAGUGCUGAAAUCCUCUAGCUUAACUAGAGGGGUGGCAUUGAUACUGAUUGGCUUGAGUGAAGUCGAGGUAGGCGGAAUUGACGGUGUAGCGGUGAAAUGCUUAGAUAUCGUCAAGAACACCGAUAGUGAAGACAGCUUACUAGGCUUCAACUGACGCUGAGGCGCGAAAGUGUGGGGAUCAAACAGG
rnacentral:rRNA from 1 species